rnacentral:rRNA from 2 species
UUCAUUGAGAGUUUGAUCCUGGCUCAGGAUGAACGCUGGCGGCGUGUCUAAGGCAUGCAAGUCGAACGACACAGUGGCAAACGGGAGAGUAAGACAGCGGUAACCUACCCCAUAGACGAGGACAACCAUUGGAAACGAUGGCUAAUACUCGAUAGUCUAGAUAAUCAUAUGUUUAUCUAGUAAAUGCUCCGGCGCUAUGGGAGGGACCUUUGCAUCAUCAGCUUGUUGGUAGGGUAACGGCCUACCAAGGCUACAACGAUUAGGGGGUGUGAGAGCAUGGCCCCCCUCACUGGGACUGAGACACUGCCCAGACACCUACGGGUGGCUGCAGUCAAGAAUCUUCCCCAAUGGACGAAAGUCUGAGGGAGCGACGCCGCGUGCAGGAAGACGCAUCUAGGUGUGUAAACUGCUUUUAUGUGGGAAAAACUUGCGAUGGUACCACAUGAAUAAGGGGCUGCUAACUUCGUGCCAGCAGCAGCGGUAAUACGAAGGCCCCGAGCGUUAUCCGGAUUUACUGGGCGUAAAGAGCUAAAAGGCUGUUUUGUAAGUCGAGUGUUAAAGCCCGGAGCUCAACUCCGGAUCUGCAUUCGAAACUACAAAGCUAGAGGACGGAAGAGGUAAGCGGAAUUGCUGGUGUAGCAGUAAAAUGCGUUAAUAUCAGCAGGAACACCGAUUGCGAAGGCUGCUUACUAGGACGCUCCUGACGCUAAAUAGCGAAAGUGUGGGUAGCGAAUGGGAUUAGAUACCCCAGUAGUCCACACCGUAAACGCUGGAUACUAGGUAUCGGGGGAUUCGACCCCCCCGGUAUCGUUAAGCUAACGCGUUAAGUAUCCCGCCUGGGGAGUACGACCGCAAGGUUAAAACUCAAAGGAAUUGACGGGGACCCGCACAAGCGGUGGAGCAUGUGGUUUAAUUCGACGCUAAGCGAGGAACCUUACCAAGGCUUGACAUCUCGAGAAAGCCUCCGAAAGGAGGCUGUGCCUUCGGGAACUCGAUGACAGGUGAUGCAUGGUUGUCGUCAGCUCGUGCUGUGAAGUGUACCCUUAAGUGGGGUAACGAGCGCAACCCUCACGUUAUGUUAAAUGUUCAUAACGGACUGCCGGGGAUAACCCGGAGGAAGGUGGGGAUGACGUCAAAUCAGCAUGUCCCUUAUGCCUUGGGCGACACACGUGCUACAAUGGGAAUGACAAUGGGCCGCCAAGUCGCAAGACGGAGCUAAUCCCACCAAACAUUCCCCCAGUUCGGAUUGCAGGCUGCAACUCGCCUGCAUGAAGUCGGAAUCGCUAGUAACCGCGUAUCAGCCAUGGCGCGGUGAAUACGUUCUCGGGUCUUGUACACACCGCCCGUCACAUCAGGGAAGCCGGUAAUGCCCGAAGGUCUCCAAGUAAUGGAGGACGAAGGUAGGACUGGUGACAAGGAUGAAGUCGUAACAAGGCACCCGUAGCGGAAGCUGUGGGUGGAUCACCUCCUUUCU